rnacentral:rRNA from 1 species
CUUUAUUGGAGAGUUUGAUCCUGGCUCAGGACGAACGCUGGCGGCGUGCCUAAUACAUGCAAGUCGAGCGGAAUCGAUGGAGUGCUUGCACUCCUGAGAUUUAGCGGCGGACGGGUGAGUAACACGUAGGCAACCUGCCCUCAAGACUGGGAUAACUACCGGAAACGGUAGCUAAUACCGGAUAGGAUAUUUGGCUGCAUGGCCGGAUAUGGAAAGGCGGAGCAAUCUGUCACUUGAGGAUGGGCCUGCGGCGCAUUAGCUAGUUGGUGGGGUAAUGGCCUACCAAGGCGACGAUGCGUAGCCGACCUGAGAGGGUGAACGGCCACACUGGGACUGAGACACGGCCCAGACUCCUACGGGAGGCAGCAGUAGGGAAUCUUCCGCAAUGGACGAAAGUCUGACGG